CCCUUAGAUGUUCUUGGCUGCACGCGCGCUACACUGAAGCUAUCAACACGUUUUCCCUCCCUGAGAAGGGCGGGUAACCUUUUGAAUCAGCUUCGUGGUAGGGAUCGGGGCUUGCAAUUGUUCCCCGUGAACCAGGAAUUCCUAGUAGACGCGAGUCAUAAGCUCGCAUCGAUUAAGUCCCUGCCCUUUGUACACACCGCCCGUCGCUACUACCGAUUGAACGUUUUAGUGAGGCAUUUGGACCGACGCAUCUCAGUUUAACCGCUGGUUUGUGUUGGAAAGACUUCCAAACUUGAGCGUUUAGAGGAAGUAAAAGUCGUAACA
rnacentral:rRNA from 1 species